GCCUCCUUGGCUCAGUUGGCUAGAGCGCGAGUCUCAUAUUGUGGUAUGAGGAUGGUGCAGUCAUCUUAAAUCUCGAGGUCGCAAGUUCGAGCCUUGCAGGGGGCA